UGUUGUUUUGGGGGUCUUGCAGAAGCCAAGCUGUUGAUCUGGACCGCAGCAGGAGCAGGUGCUGCUCUCCUCCUCCUCAUAGCUGUUAUUGCACUGAGCUGCUGGUGGAGAUCUCAUGGAGAUGCAACACUCCGUGAUUGUUGGAAUACAGUGUAUGCAGAUGUUAACGUUUCACAAAUCAGUAAACCAUCACAGAGCAACAUUAAUGGAGCACCCAUUUAUGAAACAGUGGAUGACCUCAGAGUUACGC